CUAUCCCUUUAAUUUCUUUCAUCUACAGCUCUGUCGUGUAGUCUAAGCUGUAGUGGAGUUUAAACAGCAGUAUAGUUUAAACUCUGGCUAGAGUAUCAGGGACUAUGUAGAGUAGAAGGUGAGAGAGGGCAUCCUUGUCCUGUUCCAGUUCUGAGAGGAAAUGCUUCCCAUCAGAAAUGCACUUUGAGGAUGAAGAGGUCCUAGUUCCUCUGCUCUCUCCCCCCACAGCCCAGGUGGGAUGUCUCUUAGGAAGGUGGGGGUCCUCUCCCAAGGCUGCCCCACCUGGCAGAUGGCCCAGUUCCCCUGCAGAGGCCACAUCGGGGAUGGGGCGAGCAGCCACCCGGCGGGCUCAUGGCCAGUGCCAGGCGAGGCAGGUGUGGGCAGCCUAAGGUCCUCAGUAGCUGCCUGGGUAUUGCCACCCCCCUCGUGCUGCUUCCUGAACAGGCCGCUCAGCCAGGACCAAGACCCAGGGCCUGGAACAGCCACUGCAGAGGCCAUUCCAGCCUCUCGUCGCCCUUCCACUCUGAGGCUCACUGCCCUGCGCCCUCGCUGCCGCCGCCAGCCUGGAGCUCUUCACUGUAGCCAUCGGACUCCCCACACGGUCGCCAGAUGCCACUGCAGCAGGAUUCCUGUUACCCCAGCAGGAUGAAGAUGCUCACCACUGGACGCCUCUGUGUCCUCAGCCCCGUUUCCAGACUCUACUGGUGCUGCCGCCACCGUGCAGCAACCAAACUCCCAAACCCCAGCUGGACUAUGAUGCUGCCCACCAAGGGCCCAACGUCAAUGCCCUUCACCCCCCGCCAUGAUGCCUGACUCCAAUGCCCCAUGCCGGCUCCCGGAUGAAGCUGCAUGUUGUUGCUGCCACCACCAGACUCCAUCAUGGACGCAUGACAGCGAUACUCAGCACUGGAUGCCCACUUCACCCACUGCAGCCAGACUCCUGUGGCACUGCAGGACAGAAAUGAUCAUGGCAACAUCCCUCUGUUGUCACCACAGCAGCUUCUGGACUCUUCUGCUGCCACCACCACUGUGAGUAUGCAGCAAGGGAUCUCCCAAACAGCAGCUGGAUGCCAACACCUCAGCUGUUGCCACCCCCACGCCAACUCUCAACUCCGGACCUCCUUCGCCUGAUGCCCUACGCCUGAAGCAGCUACAUGUUGCUGCUGCUGCCACCAGAUGCUACCACUCCAUGAGGCCUCUUCAGUGAUUCCAUCCCAAAGAUGCUGCUGUGCUGCCCAAGACCACAGAAGCUGGGAAGUUGGGCAGUCUCCAUCCCAGUCGCCUCAUCAGUGCCCACCGCUUGCCGCCUGCCUUUCCUCCCCCAGGACCACCCACCAGUCCUUCUGGGCCUUUGAACAGGAGUUGUGCUGACUCAGGGAACUCAUCCAAGGAAAACAACUGACCAUCAGGAAGAAGGAAACACCAGAGAAGCUUGAGGAUCAGAAGGACACUAGCCCUGCUCUGGUCACCCUGGAAGCUGGCUAGCCUGCACACACCAAAGCUUGAGGAAACAGCAGCCCUGCUUCAGCCACUUGAGGGCUGGCUGAUCAAUGCAAGGAGGAAACUAAACUAAGCAACAGGACAAAUGGACUGUUUCGUCCUGUAAGAGGGCUCCCACACUGUGGUGCAUUGCCACCCCUUACUUCUGUCAUAUGCACAGUCCUCUCCUUGGUCUUUACUACAGGACUGACAACCACCAAACACACAGCUAACCCAUAAUGGGGGGCGGGGCAAGGGAAGAUGGGAGGGACUUUGGAUUGGGCAGAGGGGAGUGUGGGAGGGGAGGGGAUAUGGGAGUGGGAAGGAUGGUGGAAUGAGGUGGAUUGUAUUAAUCUAUGUACAUGUAUGAUUGCAGGAAUGGGGUGACUGUGCACUGUGUCUAACCAGAGAAAUGAAAAGUUGCCUCCAUUUGUGUUUAAUAGUCAAAAUGCAUUCUGCUGUUAUAUAUAACUAAUUGAAAAAAAUUCAUAAAGGUCUAAGGCUUAAAAGGAAGUUUAGACACUUUAAUGGUCAUAUAAAUAUGUAUACUUUUCUUAUAUAAAAUUUAAACUUAUUAAUUAAAUUGAAAAAAAAAAAACAACUAGCACAUGUACUAGUUCAAACCUGAAAGGGCAUUAAGGCUUGGGAACCAAGCUCACUCUUUGGAGGAUGGUUUUUCUAUUCUUGGUGGAUUCAAAAGUUUAAUUGACAUAGUAUGGAUUAUGCUAUUGUUUAUUGCUUUCAUAUUUGUCUCCCCUUUACAAUGAAACUAUUGGGUCAACUAUAGAAGCAGCUGUUAGAGAGAGGGGGGGGGCAGGAGGAGGGAAACAUGGAGGGAGAAAUUAAGAUUAUGGCAUUAUAUAAAAUUUUAAGCCUUGAAGAUGAUGUUUUUUGAUUUAAAGGGUUAAAUAAUGAGCAUAGAGGCGGUAACGAUGUAUCACAAAUACUCCAAAUAGUCCAAAUGAUGUAGUGUCCAAAAGAUCCCCACCUUAAUUGUAAUAUAUAAGCCUUUCUCCUAGUAAACAAGAUUUUUUUUUUGAAGUCAACAGGAUUUCUAGAGAGCUCAUUGUAGUUUAGCUCCUCUUUAUUGUAAAGGUCAGGUUUCUCUUUCUUGUAAAAGUUAGGUCUGCAGGGCUGGGGUUGUGGCUCAGUGUUAGAACACUUACCUAGCAGGUGUGAGGCACUGAGUUUGAUUCUUACACCACAUAAAAAUAAAAUAAGGUAUUGUGCCCAUCUACAACUUAAAAAAAAGUUAUGUCAGCAAUCAAACUUGUUGAUGUACAAAAGUUACUCUUUCUCUUUUCUUAGUAAAAUCUUGUGAAACCUCUGUCCAAUCUAAGAACAUGGAAGAAAAAGUAACUAUUAUGUUAGCCAUUGUGUUGUGUAACCAUUCACUGAGUAGAAAUCCCAGAGAACUUCCAUACCUGGGGUCCAGGGAUUUUUUGGCAUUAGCCCCUCUGGAUUACACCAGCUUAAAUAAACCUUGUUCCUGCACAUUUCUCAAGUGUCCAGCCUCCUCUGUCCUACAUCAAUACCUGCUUGAAAUGCUAGAAUGUCCCCAUUCUUGAAGGACACUCAGAGACAGUCUCUCUGGCUCUGCCACAGUAUGAAUUCUAUCCAAAGAUAUUAAUCACAAAAAACUAAAGGGAGAUUACACUAUAGUGACCUCCUGGGGGGAGAUUCAGUGUUGCAUGAUGAAACUUGUAUACAUAUAUUGAAUUGCUAUGAUAUACCCUGUAAAGUAUAGAAAUGAUACAUCUGAAUAAACAUGUUUUGUGAGAAAUUGAA